ACGAACGCUGGCGGCGUGCUUAACACAUGCAAGUCGAACGGUGCAUUGGUUUACUGAUGUAACCGUGGCAGACGGGUGAGUAAUAUAUAGGAACGUGCCCUGAAGUUUGGGAUAACGCUUGGAAACGAGUGCUAAUACCGGAUAAGCCCGAGAGGGGAAAGAUUUAUUGCUUUGGGAGUGGCCUAUACAAGAUUAGGUAGUUGGUGGGGUAAAGGCCUACCAAGCCUGUGAUCUUUAGCUGGUUUGAGAGGAUGAUCAGCCACACUGGGACUGAGAUACGGCCCAGACUCCUACGGGAGGCAGUAGUGGGGAAUAUUGGACAAUGGGGGAAACCCUGAUCCAGCGACGCCGCGUGGAUGAUGAAGGUCUUCGGAUUGUAAAGUCCUUUUGUAGGGGACGAUAGUGACGGUACCCUACGAAUAAGUCCCGGCUAACUUCGU
rnacentral:rRNA from 1 species